CAUGCUAUACUUCUUACCUAGGUGUAUAUUUCCCGAUUUUUAUUUAUUGAAAUGCUGUUCAAUGUGAACAUUCUAACAGUUUGGUGUUUCAUCGCUCACUAUGAAGCGUGUUUUUACAUCGUUAUUAAAAGCAAAGUUAAAUUUUCCUUGUCGAAAAUGGGGCGGGCAAUGGCAUGUCAUUGCGGAAAAGGCAACAUCACAAAUGCAGCAUCAAUUUGAUUGCAUGUGGGAAGUGCUUGCCCCUGAACAAUACUCUACGAAAUUUGGUUACGUCAUGCAAGGAAUGGAAAAAACGAGAACAGUUGUGUAAAGUGUGAAUUGUUUCCGAUACGGUUGUUCCUCUGAUUGCCAGUGAUGAAAUCGAUUGUGUUAAGUAUGAUUCAAUACGGUGUUUGAAAUAGAUACGGUGUUAGAAAUUUGAUGCAGAUUUAAUCAAUCGUUAGUGCAUAAUCUUUUUUGCUGUGCAAUCAAGUUCAAUGAAGAGAAUGCAGCGAACGUGGGGGCUCAAUAAGAGUUAGUACUUCCAGUCAGAGAUCAGAUAAGUAUUUUAUUGAACCUUUUUGAGCUUAUAACUAUUCCUGUUGAUGAGAUGAUGGCAAGAGAAAUGACGCUAUUGCUGAAAAAAUGAGUAGUGGAACUUUGCCAUCCUUUUAUUUUAUAAUAAUUUAAAAUUCACUUUUCUUUGUCGGUUUAUGUUAAACUGUAUUACAUUUAUUAGUUAUAGAAAAGUCUACAUCAUUACUUCCCAUGUAUAGUCUUGCUGUUGCAACGCAACAGACUCACUUUCGGCCGGCAAUGAGAAGAUGGUUACGCUUUUUUUGAACUCUUUUAUUCCAGUCAAUAGUAAUAAAAAAAUGAAAUAGAUUGGUGUUGAGUUAAAAACUACAACGUGAGUCUUCUCCGUUGCCCAGAAAGUAAGACCCGUUAUCCUC